ACCCUGCCACAGAAUGUGGAGUGAUAAUUUCAAAGAAAAAUGGAAAAUGAGAGAAGAAGAAUUGAAUUCCCUUUUCAAAGUCUCCCUCCACAUUGUUCGGCUCACAUGAGAACAAAGAGAGAAAGGACAUUCAGCUGAUACACAAAGGACAGCCUGCAUUCAGUGAGCACUGGCUUUAGUCACAACAGCUGUGAAGAGAUUAAGGCAGAGCAGAGAAAGAAAUCCCACAAGAAGCGUGCCUGAAACCCCUGCAGAAAGGAGAUAUGCAAGGCUGAUCCCAGGCCAUACACGAUCCUCCCAAUCAGCAGGGAACAGACCUGGAAAGCACCAAAAGAGGAAGUUCUGAUGUUAAGUUCUCCAGAAGGCCUCCCAGGAAGCACAAGCAACUAAGAAGCCCGCAAAACAGCACAUCUCUUUACUUAAGAAGACUGUGCAUCAGGGAAUCAGUGACACCUUGCAGUGUUGUGCUCAGCAGUUCUGAAUAUAUCGUGUGAAAGAGGGAGGAAAGCAUUUGUCCCUUUUUAGGGAAACAGAGAGCUUCUGAAAAAUUUAGGCAAAGGACUACGCUAUGUGUCAAAAUUUUGGAUUGGCUUUUAAAAAAAAAAACUGAUUCACAGUCAACCAAAAGUGACCACAUGAGAUCCCAACAUGAUCACACCUAUUAUACAAUCCCCAAUCCAUCUGGGAGCAUAUCAGGGAAAGAGGAAAAUCAGAAGAGUGGCAGUGAAGCAGCAGAAGGGAAACCCCUUUGGUGAAUAGCAAGGAGCUGCCAAAAGAUUCAGUACAGAGGGGUUGCUAAAUAUCUCAGCACCUAAGAUACAGGUCCUCAGUCUCCCACUCCACACAGGCGUGUGAAUGGAUUCAAUCCUAUGAAAAAUGUAAAAACUGACACCUGGAUAGUUCUGAAAAUGUACCACAGAGGAACAACUGUUGUUUGAGGUAGAAUUCAUCCUUACAUUCUCUGCCUAUCCAUGUUAAACUGACAAAAGGAUUAAA